rnacentral:rRNA from 1 species
UACGUAGGGCGCAAGCGUUAUCCGGAAUUAUUGGGCGUAAAGAGCUCGUAGGCGGUUUGUCGCGUCUGCCGUGAAAGUCCGGGGCUCAACUCCGGAUCUGCGGUGGGUACGGGCAGACUAGAGUGAUGUAGGGGAGACUGGAAUUCCUGGUGUAGCGGUGAAAUGCGCAGAUAUCAGGAGGAACACCGAUGGCGAAGGCAGGUCUCUGGGCAUUAACUGACGCUGAGGAGCGAAAGCAGGGGGAGAGAACAGG